rnacentral:rRNA from 1 species
UACGUAGGGGGCAAGCGUUAUCCGGAAUUACUGGGUGUAAAGGGAGCGUAGGCGGCUUAGUAAGUCAGAAGUGAAAGCCCGCAGCUCAACUGCGGGACUGCUUUUGAAACUGCCAGGCUAGAGUGUCGGAGAGGUAAGUGGAAUUCCUGGUGUAGCGGUGAAAUGCGUAGAUAUCAGGAGGAACACCGGUGGCGAAGGCGGCCUGCUGGACAGUAACUGACGUUGAGGCUCGAAAGCGUGGGGAGCAAACAGG